rnacentral:rRNA from 1 species
CCUACGGGAGGCAGCAGUGAGGAAUAUUGGUCAAUGGGCGCUAGCCUGAACCAGCCAAGUAGCGUGAAGGAUGACUGCCCUAUGGGUUGUAAGCUUCUUUUAUAUGGGAAUAAAGUGCAGUAUGUAUACUGCUUUGCAUGUACCUUUUGAAUAAGGAUCGGCUAACUACGUGCCAGCAGCCGCGGUAAUACGGAGGAUCCGAGCGUUAUCCGGGUUUAUUGGGUGUAAAGGGAGGGUAGGCGGGUUGGUAAGUCAGUUGUGAAAGUUUGCGGCUCAACCGUAAAAUUGCUGUUGAUACUGGCAGGCUUGAGUGCAGGAGAGGUAGGCGGAAUGCGUGGUGUAGCGGUGAAAUGCGUAGAUAUCACGAAGAACACCGAUUGCGAAGGCAGCCUGCUGGACUGUAACUGACGCUGAUGCUCGAAAGUGUGGGUAUCAAACAGGAUUAGAUACCCUAGUAGUC